AGUUCCUUUAAUGUUUUAAGUAAGUUUUAUGAAGUUUCUUGGGGUAGAAAUGCAUGUGUAGGUUUAUGUGGAGUUUAUGGGUUUACUGUGCGUUUAUGGACAAUGUAUGUUGGAUAUGCAUGUUUGAUGUGUUGUAGAUGGGGUUUAGGAUAGUUUGAAGCCCCUAGGAGCUUGUAUGCUUGAGUAUGCAUGUUGUAGAAUAGGAAAAUGCAUGAUUGAAUGAGUUGUGAGGCGUUUAUGCAUGUUGAGCUGAGUU
rnacentral:lncRNA from 1 species